rnacentral:rRNA from 1 species
UACGUAGGGGGCAAGCGUUGUCCGGAUUUAUUGGGCGUAAAGCGCGCGUAGGCGGCGAAGUGUGUCGUGCGUGAAAUCUCCCGGCUUAACUGGGAGGGGCCGUGCGAAACUGCUUGGCUUGAGGUCGGAAGGGGAAAGUGGAAUUCCGGGUGUAGUGGUGGAAUACGUAGAUAUCCGGAGGAACACCAGCGGCGAAGGCGGCUUCUGGUCCGAUACUGACGCUGAGGUGCGAAAGCGUGGGGAGCGAUCCGG